GUAACCUGGGACCACUUCCGUCAAUCCUUGACAAGGCCUUAUAAACCAUGGCCCACACCCGAUCUCCCUCCGCCCCAUACCAUGCACCUUCUGUGUACACAUACAGGCACCUAGCGUGGGGACGCCCCCUCCAGGGAAUAUGCAGUGACAUCUCCCUUAAGGUCUGGAGUGCACACCUGGAUCCAUGUGUUCCCUUGGGGACAGAGCAGGCAGGGGAGGGGCGGUGGGGCUAGCAGCUGGGACUGCCUGGGAGUAUGUGACCCAGUUUCAUCUCCAGCAUCUGUCUGCUGGCAGAACAGAUUUUAGUCACCUGAGCUCACUGCACACUCCCGCACCCGACUCUACCACACACGUGACAAACUCACAAGCAUCAGACACGUGUCUUCCCUACACAGCACAUAUGUGGCUCUCACACACACGCUCCAACCGCGCUGCUGGUGUAUUCUCUCCCAGCCCCCCAAUUCCGCUUUCCUGUAUCAUGUCCAUGAAUUGUUUAGACC
rnacentral:lncRNA from 1 species